rnacentral:lncRNA from 10 species
CCCAGGAGCCUGGGGCAUGGGAAAGCUGUCGGGGUCCCCAUGCUGACUCCCUGGACUCCAAGCGAUAUUCCAUAAAGCCAGGGCCUCCUGGCUGCGGGAGGGAGGCCUUGACCCAAAAUCCAUUCGGCCCUGGAUACUGGAGAGGCAGAGGCCUCUGCUGAUGAGAAGCCCUGAGUUCCUGGCUAGCUGUGGUUAACCACAAAAAAUGCGGGGGGUGAUGAUUUUCGAAGUCCAUCGGCAAAGAAAGACUCCCCACUGCAGUCCUGGGGCAGAUGGAAUUAAAAGGACACGUGGUGGUGAAUAAAUUGGUGAUAACUUAUUUUUGUCGAAUUUCCUUAUUUUACAGAGGAGAAAACUGAGGGCCAGAAAGGGUGACUCCCCUGAGUGUCAUGCCACAAGUUGAGUGCUGGAGCCAGGACACCUUCCAAACCGGCUGUGCCUGCCUGCAAGCCCCAUCCUCCUCCAUCCCCCUGAGCAGCCAGACUGCAGAGGGAAUGAGCGGACCGAAAACAGUGUGGCCGCAACUUCCCCACUGCUUUGCGGGAGGUGGAGGGAGUUUCUAGGCUCUUUCCCUGUUGGGGAAUUAAGUAGCUGGGGAUCCCACUGAGUCUCCACCACCCUCUCACCCAUUUUCCACCCCUCCCCCACCACAUAUACAUUCUGCUCCCCCAGUGCCAAAUAACUUGCAUUUUCUGGAACACACCUGUCUGCUUACGGUCUCUGUGCCUUUCUUUGCCCACAUCUCCCCUCUUCUUGAAACACCCCUCCUCCCCUCCAGCGUGGGCUCAUGUGACCUAGAGAAGCACGUGGGAGCCCUGUCAUCUGGGGGACUUGGGUUCAAAUCCCACUUCUGGUCCUUAAGUCUGUGACUCUGGGCCUUUGUUUAAUAACUGGAGGAGUUUCAUUAGGAAAAUGGCAGUGACCACAUAUGUCCCUGGAGUGACUGAUGUGCCACCCACAAGCUUCUAUUUGGUCAGUGCUGGGUCCCAUCGUCCCAUCUAGCAUGCUCCUCUUCCAUCCUCGUGCCCCCACUCAGUGCCAUUGUCUCUGCCUCUCACCCUCUGUGCUGCUAUUCCUGCCCUCAUCACCUCCUCCCUAGGGCAGAGGCCCCGUCUUCUUUACCAUGCCCCAGUGCCAGCACAGUGCUUUGGCAAGUUAUUCAGCACUGGGGGAGUAGAGUGUAUGUGUGGUGGGGGAGGGGGUGGAGAAUGGGUAAGAGGGUGAUGGAGACUCAGGGGGACCCCCAGCUACUUAAUACCCCUGAGGAAGUGUCGGCCGAAGUGGACCCACUCCUGUGACAGUUCACAGCCUAGAAGAGGCGUCUGUAACCACGGUGACCAGCACCGGUUAUGAAGAAGACAAGCAGCUCUACAGAGGGGCCUCAAGAAAUCCUUCGAAACAGAAAUCAAAGUCUUGCUGGAAGGGUUCUGGGCACCCUGGACUGUCCACAUGGGAGGCUGUUGGUGCGUGUGCCUACGUGUGUCCAUCAGUGGAUGCACGAAGAAGGAAAUGAAUUGAUUCCAUUCUUGAUGUGACUUUCAGCUGUCAGCUGUCUGCACUCCCAGACGGGGUGAUGGCCUGGCACCAACGGAGCAUUACCCUGAUGAAUCAUGGUCGAGGGAACAAUUACCACCUUGAGGAAGGAGGCCUGAAAGCUAAGUCUUUGCUAUUGCAUCCGCCUUCUUCUCACGAAGACCUGCAGCUUGAAAGGAGGGGAGGGAGAAAUAGCCCUAAGCUCCAGGAAGACCAAGCCCAGCCUCUGUGAUGAUUCCGAGGAAAUUCAGGAAAUCCUUGCUAAUGGCCAAACUUCCCGGGUUUGAGAUGCAAAAGGAAAUCAGAUCGCAGGGUAAUGCUUUUACACUAAGCAAGAAAUUGCAGGAUAUAAAGCUGUGCAGACCAUUGCCUCUGAUUAAGAAAGCGAUUCUGAGAUUCCAGCCUGGAAGGAACCGGGCCCCAGUGUUAACUGUGGUUAAUUCUGGGUGGAGGGGUGAUGGGUGAUAAUUUCUCCUUUUUCUUUUCUGUACUAACCAUUAAUACUGGGGGGAUGGGCAGUUAAAAAUCAAAGGAAGAAAACAUAAAGAAAGCCAAAUCCUUUUCCAUCUGUAGCCAUUCAAGCUACUGCCUGGACACGCUCUCCUUGAAGCUGGGGCUCCUCUCUCAGCCCCACCUAACAUGGCCCACCUCCUUCCUGGGGUCACUCCGUGUUCCUCAAGCACUUCAAACUCAUCCUCUCCUGCCUCUGAGCUGAGCAUAUGGGCCUCUCCCCUUCCUUUAAAAGCUCCAUCCGUGACUGCCUUCUGGGGGUCAGCCACAUAGCUGAGUGAGGACCACAUGCUUCACACCAAAUGAUACAAGAAGCUUGUUCCAAAUCUAUGUGGGUUUUUUGACAUUUUAGAGAGCAGAUGCUUUCCCAUGCUUUCUAAUUCCCUAUUACAUCUAUACAUCUCUUUUAAAAGAUCCUGCAAGUCCUUUUAGUGUCUGGACACAGGUUAUUCCCUCCCUUUCUUUUUUCCCAAUUUCACCUGCCCCAGUCCUCCUGGUCAGUGCUUCUGUUUCCUGCACAAGGAAACAGCCUUGCAAACAUGGUGAACCCUGAAAGCAUGCUGGAAAUGAAAGAAGCCAGGUACAAAAGACAACAUACUAUAUGAUUUCAUUCACAAGAAAUGUGUGUAACAGAAAAAUUUACAGAGACAGAAAAUAAAUUCCUAGUUGCUUAGGGCUGGGAGAGUGGGGUGAGGCCUCUCUACAGAGAUGGCAAUGCCCAGGAUUCAAUCUGAAGAUGUUGUUUAGAUAUCACAGCAUAGUCGGACAAUAGUGAGGACAGUCUGGCAUUGGCGUACAGAUGAACAAAUAGAUUUGUGCAAUAGAAGAAGCCAAACCAGAUUCCAGCCUACCUCCAGUCACCUGAUUUAACAAAGUCAAAGUCACAAAUCAAUAGGGAGAGGAUGGUCUUUUCAGUAAAUGAUACCGUAUCAAUUGACUCGUCAUAUACAGAACAAAAUGAACUUUGGUCCCAUACACACACAAGUCAUAAAAGUUCACUCAAAGUGAAUGAUAGACCUACAUUUGAAAACAAAAGCAAUGCAGGAUCCAGGAGAAAGGGUCCAGGCAGGAGAAUAUUUUUAUGACCUUGGACUAAGCAAGAGAUUCAUAAACAGGACACAAAACCACUAACCACCAAAAAAAAGGACUGAUAAACAUGACAAUUAAAAUGAAGAAUUUAUGUUUAUCAAAAACAAAAAGGGGAACCAUCGACUGGGAGAACAUAGUUACAACACUUGUAUCCAACUGAGAAUUUAUAUUCAGGUUAGAAGACUCAAAAACAAAAAGGCAAGCAAUCCACUAAGAACAAAUUCUGGGCAGAAGACUUCACAAAAGAUCUGCAAAUGACCAAUGACAUCAGGUAAACAUGGAUUGAAACAACAAGAAGACACACCCACAAGAUCCGUGACAAUUUUGAAAAUGAAACCCUGAGGCAGGCAGAAUUCUAAGGUCAUGUCCCAGAUUCCCCCUCUUGGUGUCCGAGCCCUGCACAGUCCACUUGAGUAGGGGCCAGACCUGUGGAUAUGAUGGAUGUCUCUUCUGUGAUCAGGUUACAUCAUAUGCCAAAGAUGGAGGGAUUUUGUGAUUAAGUCUCUAAUCAGUUUACCUUCAAGUUCAUCAAAAGCGAGAGUGGCCUAGGUUGGCCUGGCUUACUCAGGUGAGGCCUUUAAAAGAGAGCUCAAGCCUGCCCUGAGCUUGGAGAGAUUUUCCUGCUAGCCUUGAAGAAACAAACAGCUGUGAGUUCUGCAGCUUCACAGAAAUGAAUUUGGCCGACAAUCAUGUGAGCUCCAUUAGAAAUGCACCCUAAGCUCUCUCAACCUCUCCCAUCCCCCACAGCACCUAUUUACUGAUUAUCUGUACAUGAUAGCAGGGCAGGAACUAGACUCUCAGCCCCCUGAGGACAGACCUUGUCUGUCAGUGCAUUUCACUGUCUGUCCCAGCACCUUGCACAGAGCCUGGCACAUAUCAAGAACACGGCACAUUUUUAUUGAGACAGACUCCUCAAAGCUGGAAUCUAAAACCAAUGGCACCUAAUCUCAGCCAAAAAGGUUAAUGUGACACCUGUGCUUUUAUUACCCAUUUCUGCAGAUGGAAGGGUUGGUUGUUUGUGGCUAUCUCAAGUGAAAUGCAGAAUUAGUGAAUAAAAUUUUCAUCUGAAUUUAAAGAAAAUCUUAAUAAGAUUUUGUUAUUGCAAUUUUGUUGGUACCACUAUGGAGUAACUUACAUUAUUCAAAUCAUCAUUGCCUUCCCUAUAGAAGAAUUAUAUUAGGUUAAGCCAAAUACAGUUGAGAUAUUCAAUCACUUUUGACUUCAUAAAAUGCCAAUCUCAUAUGGUUCAACCUAAUUCUUCCCUGCC